UGAGCGCCGGAAUCGUGCGAACCUGCUUAGGGGAUACGUUCUGUGGACUCCCAGAGACAGCCCCAUGUAGACGCGAAAGGAAAGACUGUGAAAGACGCCGCCUACACAGUGGAACUGAAGGGUGGGACGCUGAGGUUAACAGGAUUCUGUCUGCCACCAUCAGUAACAAGUACCAAAUCUGUGUUCUCACUACGUUUGACCAGUGAUUUGGCAGUUCGUGGUCAUGGGUUUAAAGUAUAUUAUGAAGCACAGUUUACUCCCUAGUCAAGUGGGGAAACUGUACCAGUAAAGAACUGAAAAUGAGGAAGUGGGGGCAGCGGGUUCAUUCUUGGACUGUCCUUAGUGUUGGAUCAUCAGGUCAAGGUGAGUAAACAUUUUCCAGACUGCUUUACCAGAUUAAAGCAAUUUUCCAUACCACCCAAAAUAUAGUCUCAUAUGUCGUCUCAGCACUGUUACAUCAUUAAUUUUUACUAAUGUACUUAGUUGGGUUUUAUUAUUUUAUAUAAUUUUAACUAAUUUAAUAAAGUUGUUUUGCAUUUUGUUAGGUAGGAUUUAUGUUUUCCCAUUUUUUAAAUGUUGUCUGCAUUUCCGAACAUAUAACCUCUCUGUAAUCUUCUCUGACCACUUACUGUUGGAAUUUAGGUACUGAUUUAUAUUUCUAUUAAAUCUUUAUAAAUUUUUGGUAAAUUUUCAACACUUGUACAGCAAAUUUGAUUCUUAAACUUUUAAAA